rnacentral:rRNA from 1 species
CUUCGGCCCGAGUUGUAAUUUGCAGAGGAUGUUUAUGGUGCAGUACUUUCCGAGUUCCCUGGAACGGGACGCCACAGAGGGUGAGAGCCCCGUCUGGAUUGAUACUAAACCUGUGUUAAACUCCUUCAACGAGUCGAGUAGUUUGGGAAUGCUGCUCUAAAUGGGAGGUAAAUCUCUUCUAAAGCUAAAUAUUGGCCAGAGACCGAUAGCGCACAAGUAGAGUGAUCGAAAGAUGAAAAGCACCUUGAAAAGGGGGUUAAACAGUACGUGAAAUUGUUGAAAGGGAAGCGUUUAUGACCAGACUUGUGCUGUAUGGCUCAUCCGAGGUUCUCCCCGGUGCACUCCAUACAGUUCAGGCCAACAUCGGUUGUCGUCGGAGGAUAAGAACAGUAGGAACGUGGCCCUCCUCGGGGGGUGUUAUAGCCUAUUGUAC